GUGGAUGCUAGCCUUAAGGACUAAGCCAUGCAAGCCAGCGAAGGUAACGAAGCGGUGAACGGCUCAGUAGGACAGGGUUUAUCUGGCCAGCAUUAGGGAUAACCACGGUAAGCUGUGGCUAAUACUAAGUUGGGUGAGACCCUGGCCUAUUAGCUUGACGGUACGGUAAGUGCGUACUGUGGCGAUGAUGGGUAGCGGGGAAUCGGGGUUUGAUUCCGGAGAGGGAGCCUGAGAGAUGGCUGCCACGUCCAAGGACGGCUGCAGGCGCGAAAAUUACCCACUUGGAGGACCAGAGGUAGUGACGAGGCGUUAAUAAUGAGAAUAGUGUAAACAGCUAUUUGAAGGCAAUUGGAGGGCAAGUCUGGUGCCAGCAGCCGCGGUAAUUCCAGCUCCAAGAGCAUCUGUGUGUGUUGCUGCGGUUAAAGAGUGCGUAGUCUGAUUUUUUGCCAGCAAUAAAGGUGCGAUAUCCAUUCGUGCAUUGUGCUGGUACUUUAAUCUAGGAACCGGAGUAGGGCAAUAUUAUUCGACAGCGAGGGGUGAAAACUGAUGACCUGUUGAGGAGUGACCGAGGCGAAAGCGGUUGUCCGGGACGGGUUCGACGAUCAAGCGCGUGAGCAGGAGGAUCGAAGGCGAUUAGAGACCGUCGUAGUUCCUGCAGUAAACGAUGCCAACAGGGAUGCAAGUUCUGUGUCCUAAGGGAAACCGAGUGUAUAGGCUCCGGGGAUAGUACGGGCGCAAGCCAGAAACUUGAAGAAAUUGACGGAAGGACACCACAAGGAGUGGAGUGUGCGGGUUAAUUUGACUCAACGCGGGGCAACUUACCAGGGCAAGCAAUGUUGCGAGAAGGGCAUGUAUAA
rnacentral:rRNA from 1 species